CAUUCAACAGGAGGGUGCUAUUCAUGCGGCUUUUUCGGAGGCCAUCAGGCCCAGGUUCCAGCACUCCGGAGCAGCCCUUAUGGGAAGAAAGUCCCUUUAAGCAACAGCCUGAAGAAGUAAUUUAUGCUGUUUCAGGAAGUUCUGCAAGCGGAAGCCUCCCAAGAAGGAAGCUAAGAAAGAAGCAAUUGCUCCCAAGGCAUCUUCUUCUAGAGGAAAUCUAAGGAUGGAGCUGAAGAUGGUUCAAAGAAGAGAAAACGAAAGAAGAAAAAGGAUCCUAAUGCACCAAAGAGAGCUAUUUCUGCUUUCAUGUUCUUCUCACAAGCCGAAAGAGAUGCAAGUUGUUUUUGGUAUGCCAUGCUGGUUUUUGCUUCUUGUUGCCUCUAAAAGUUUUUGGUAUGCCAAGUGCUUUUCUAUUGUGUAGACUUGCCUUCUG